GAAUAUUGGACAAUGGGCGAAAGCCUGAUCCAGCCAUGCCGCGUGUGUGAAGAAGGUCUUUGGAUUGUAAAGCACUUUCAGUUGGGAGGAAGGGCAGUAAGCGAAUACCUUGCUGUUUUUACCUUACCGACAGACUAAGCACCGGAUAACUCUCUCCCAGCAGCCGCGGUAAUACAGAGGGUGCAAGCGUUAAUCGGAAGUACUGGGCGUAAAGCGCGGGUAGGUGGUUCGUUAAGUUGGAUGUGAAAACCCCGGGCUCAACAUGGGAACUGCAUCCAAAACUGGCGAGCUAGAGUAGGGCAGAGGGUGGUGGAAUUUCCUGUGUAGCGGUGAAAUGCGUAGAUAUAGGAAGGAACACCAGUGGCGAAGGCGACCACCUGGGCUCAUACUGACACUGAGGUGCGAAAGCGUGGGGAGCAAACA
rnacentral:rRNA from 1 species